AGCUUUGUACAAUGGCACUAUCAUAGCCAAUGAGGUUUAUCCAAGGCACAAUUAUUGCUAAUUGAAAACUGUUUCCAAUGCAUCC
ensembl:snRNA U4 U4 spliceosomal RNA